UACGUAGGAGGCUAGCGUUGUCCGGAUUUAUUGGGCGUAAAGAGCGUGUAGGCGGCCAGGUAGGUCUGCUGUGAAAACUCGAGGCUCAACCUCGAGACGUCGGCGGAAACCAUCUGGCUAGAGUCCGGAAGAGGAGAGUGGAAUUCCUGGUGUAGCGGUGAAAUGCGCAGAUAUCAGGAAGAACACCCGUGGCGAAGGCGGCUCUCUGGGACGGUACUGACGCUGAGACGCGAAAGCGU
rnacentral:rRNA from 1 species